rnacentral:rRNA from 1 species
CCUACGGGUGGCAGCAGUGAGGAAUAUUGGUCAAUGGCCGGAAGGCUGAACCAGCCAAGCCGCGUGAGGGAGGAAGGCGCAGAGCGUCGCAGACCUCUUUUGCCGGGGGACAAAAGGCCGGACUCGUCCGGUCCUGAGGGUACCCGGAGAAAAAGCAUCGGCUAACUCCGAGCCAGCCACCGCGGUAAUACGGAGGAUGCGAUCGUUAGCCGGAUUCAUGGGGGUUAAAGGGUGCGCAGGCGGGCCUUUAAACCGGCGGUGAAAUCGCGGGGCCCAACCCCGCCGAGCCGUGGGAACUGGGGGCCUUGAGUGCGGCGGAGGCAUGCGGAAUGCGCGGUGUAGCGGUGAAAUGCA